UACGGGGGGGGCAAGCGUUGUUCGGAAUUACUGGGCGUAAAGGGCUCGUAGGCGGCCAACUAAGUCAAACGUGAAAUCCCUCGGCUUAACCGGGGAACUGCGCUUGAUACUGGAUGGCUGGAGGCCGGUAGAGGGCGGUGGAAUUCCGGGUGUAGUGGUGGAAUGCGUAGAGAUCCGGAGGAACACCAGUGGCGAAGGCGGCCGCCUGGGCCGGACCUGACGCUGAGACGCGAAAGCGUGGGGAGCGAUCCGG
rnacentral:rRNA from 1 species